CUCAGGACAAGAGAUGGAAUCUGCAGUGUCUUUUAUGACCUCGACCUGGGGCCACACUGUCACCUCUGUGACAGUCUGUUGGGUGCACAGACAAGCCCUAGAAGGACAUGGGGAGCCUGCACGAGGGUUUGAACACCAGGAGGCAGACAUCACGGGGGCACAGGCUGCCCUCUGGCCAUGAUCCGCUCCCUCUCAUGAGCAAACGCGCCCACGCCCUCCAGGCCCCAGAGUCUCAUCCUGUCACAGCAGCAGCUCGAGUCUUAACAACGUCGUGGGUCUCCUGUGGACCUUUUGGAGUUCAUUCCAUUGGUCAGACACCAAGUUCACGGUCUCUUUGAGGGUCGCCAGCAGCUUUCGGGCCCUGCCGUCUGCUGUCUGCUGUCUGGAGACCUGGGGCCACGGUUCAUUCUCUCCCGGGUUCUGAGUGUCCUGUGACACAGCAGCUGCCCCCCCACAGCCAGUGACCCAGGAGACGGAGAGCAGCGAGACGUGAGCCACCUGUCCUUACAACCUGAUCUUGGAAGUGACAUGGCGUUGCGACCAGGCCCGCCACUGCUGCUGUGCAACUCAUGUGAACACACGGAAGCUGGAACCUUCCGUAGCACACGGCCAAAACACAUUUCCCAAAUAUGCUCACACUGGCGAGGAAACAGACACAGCAGGUGGGGAGCUGGGAGCCCCCUUACUUGCCAGGGCCACAAGAAUGUCGAAGGCAGACCACGUGCCUCCCACACCUGACCGUCUCGGGAAGCGGCUGGUGGAAGGAUCUAGAAGGUGGUGGGUGUCGGGUGCUCCUCUCCGCUCUCUGCUCUUUGAUGCUGUUGUGCUCAGUCUGCGUCUCAGAUGUGUUUCCUACCAGGGGACCCUGAUACGGUGCAGCCGAGGAGCAUGGACGGGCCGUGGGUCAGCGUGAUGCAGACUUCCCCAGUGGUCCUCAGGGGCAGGCACUGGGGAGGGGGGCAGGCUGCCAGGUACACGGGGGUGCCCAGCCGGGGUUUUGGAAUGAAAGCAGGAAGGAAGGAAGAGAGAGAGAGGGAGACAGGAAGAAAAGGAGGAAGGAAAGAAGGAGGGAGGAACGGAGGGAGGAAGGAAGGAAGGAAAGGAGGGAGGGAGAAAAAGACUUUCACGCUCCUCAGACCCUGGUCUCUAAUCCCUCCUCUCAGAGCAGCAGCAUCUUGGGUCACCGAGGAUGCGAAGGUGACUGGAGGACUCGGGGCCUCUGUGGGGCGUCCUCCACUUCCCAAAGGUACAGGCAGACAAGCAGAGUGGACAGCGGGUUAUAUGACACCAGGGGACAGGGGUCCUAGAGCUAGGGUCCCUCCCCCAGGGCACUGACUACAGACCCAUGAGCUCUCCCUCUGGCCAACCUCCAGCCUCACCCACGCUGCCCACCUCCCCUGCUCUCCCCACACGCUCAUCACUGCCUCAACCUUGCCCACACCCUGACAUGCACUGGCCUGGCCAGCAGGAGCGGACUGACCGCUCGUCAUGAUUGCCUCAUCAGACAGAUUCUCAGGGACUUGGAGGGGACCAAGCGUCAAGCUAGGGAAUCAAGAAAAAGACCCUCAGCAGUCCCGUGGGUGGACAAGGACAGACGGAGAGGGCAAGGCCCGAGGAAUCGCCUCGAUGCUGAGCGUGGACGUGUGACGUGGAUGAAGGGUCCUCGCGCCAGGCCUGGCUCCGGGCAAGGGUUGACUGGCUGUGUGGCAGCCCAGAGCCCCUCCAGCUGGGCCCCCCACGCUGGGCCCCCCACGCCCUUUCCCUCCUCAGUUCUUGGUCUUCCGCACUCGGAGUCUGCUGGGGCAGAGGGAAUGUCCCCCUUGGCCCCCAGGUGCCAGAUUUGUGGGGACUCUGCAGAAACGAACCUGGUAAGUGGCUUCUCAUCUCAGAUGCCGGCUCAGCUGUCCGAGGUCACUGCCGCACCCGCCUGCCAGCACUUCUCCUCCAUGGUCCUAAACUGGGGUGGUGGCAGCUUUGGCCGCAUGGCCAGUGCCUUUUUAUGUCUGUUUCAAAACCAAAAAGGCCUGCCCUGAAUCUACCCUCAAAGGAAAGCGUUACGGGAGACGAGACAGAAUUAAAAGCAGCCCUUUAUCUGCUCCAGGGGCUCUGCACCCCCUCCCAACCCUGGCAGCAAAGUCGCCUCUGACUGUCAUAAACCAGCAGCUCCCUGGGAUUCCAGAUGUGAGCCGUUGGAUCGGAAUUUACGACGCCUGGAGCUGAAGGCCACUUCCGUCCUCCCACGGGGCAGAGGGCGGGGAAGUGCCCCACAGACAAAGAACCGGAUGGACAAAGGUUUCCCCCGUUACAGGGGACCGGGUGGGCGCCCUGUGCACAAUGUGCUCUCCCCAGCGCAUGUUCUGAUCCCAACAGCUCCGUCCCUGCUAACGGGAAGCCCCUCCAGGCCCUCAGACUGGAACAUAAAUAACCGCGCAUCCUGCACGAGGUGACGCGAUCUUAAGUGGAGACACUUGCGGAGUCAGGUGUGUGUAUUGUCUGCCUCCUCCAAGUGCAGGCGUUUCAGAGAGACGGACAAACUCAAGCCGCUCUGAGGAUUUGCUGAGUAUCUUAAAUGAUUACAGUUUUCAUAGUAUAGAUUGAUAAAGCUCCACCUGGUUUUGGCCGAGUCCACUUCCCGGUACCUUAGACAUGCACAUCAUGGAGAGAAAAAAGCAGCACAGAUGUUCUGAUUCAUUCACAUUUUGGAGAAACAUAUCCAAUAUUCAGAGAUUCAGCCUCCUCCUAGGCCCCCGCCCUGCAGGGCUGAGGAGGAGGCGCAGGGAUCUGGGAGGCAACAGCUCAGGUGCCCACGGGCCAAGCGGAGGGCUCUGCUCGGAGCUGUGUGAGGGGGAAGGGGCUCUUCCCGGGCUGAUAUUUCAUGGUUUGUAAAGUGUCCGACUCCCGGCCUCUCAGUCUGCAGAACGGGUGGCCCCAGGCGCACACGAGGCAGGCUCCUCCCACCUCUCUGCGCACCUGCACCACGGGGCCCAGUGCUGCUCUGCCCUCGUCAGCGUUCAGGUCCCCAGGACCCCGCACCCGCUCUGCUCUGCCCCAAAGCCGACCUUCUCCUCUAAGCCUCCCUUGAGCGUGAGUGGGGUCUGUCUGCCCAGGAUCUGCACAGACAGACAAAACCGAGCCGUGCGUUCUCGCCAGCUUCACGUUAAGAUCUGUCCCUGCUGCUCUGAGAACGGCCGCUUGUCUUUCUUCCUCUCGUCCACUUUCUCAGUGCCUCCCUGCCAUCGGUUUAGAGAUUCUAUGUCAGGAUUAAAGAGGAGACAGAGGGUGACAGACAGUCAGACAACCGGAGACCAGAAAUCUCAGCCACAUCACCAACAGCCGAAGGCCCCAGUCUGGAGACAACUGGCGAGAAGUCGUUGUUUUCUAGAAUGAGGUUCAGACAACGUCCUGUGACAGGGGACCCCGUCCGGGACCAUCAGGCCUCAGCAUUUCAGUUCCCCACCUCCUAGAGACGCGGAAAACAGCCAGGAUAGGAGGCCACGUGCAGCGGCAAACUCAUACCUCACUCGUUUUCUCUAAGGAAAGCUGGCGAAGUUUGGGUGAGGACGAAGCCAGAAAAUCAGAAGCUGCUGCUCACGCUCUGGGAAUGGGUGCCCCUCGGAUGUCAGCUCCUGCUGGGCUUCUGGGAGGGAGCACGAUCCCUGCUGGAUGGUAAAUCACCAAAAACGCGUCAACCCACCCGUACAGGAAGGUUCCCAGCCAGGGGGAGAAGAGAGCUUCCUCGUUUCCAGGAGUGAAGGUACAACAGCAGUUUAAGGAACACAAAAACAUGAGGUUGCAGAUGACAUGCAGACUCUCUGAUUCUUCUUUCAGAGGGCACAUGAAAAUCGACACAAGUCUCCAUAACUGGCACUGGGAGCGCCACCGGGAGGGGAGAGUUCUGCCGCAACGCAACUUACAUGGGGGUUGUCAUGAUGUAGCCACUUUAAACCCUGUUUCUUGUGUUCUCAGCCAACGUCCUCUCUUCAUAAGCAAGAACCACAGAUGAACAGAGAAAAUACAUUUUCAGUAGCCAGCCGUCAUUGAGACCUUUCUAGGUACAAAACCGUCUUCCGAUCAGUUCACGCACAUUAAUACGCUGAGUCGUCUCCUCAGCCCGGGGAGGGAAGCCCCUCAGGACCCAUUGACAGAUGUGGAAACAGAGGCGCCAGAAGAGGAACAGCACCUGAGGGCGCCGGCUGGCGCGUGCAGGGCUGAGCUUCACGGGCGGCAGCUUCAGAGGGGUGGGUCCCUACGUGGGGCACGUCAGGGUGCAGGCCAGGACCUACCCCUCCUGGAGGGCGGAAAGAGGAGCCUGUGAGUCAGUGAGCCAACAGCCACGGCCUGCUGGUGACAGGCAGACCCAGAGGACAAAGGUAUCCGGGGGCUUCUCCCUUCCUGAAGCGCCAAAACUCAGAAACCAUCAACAGCAGUCUCCUCUGGGUGCGACAUGAAGAAAGAAAAUUAAUGCAGCUGCUCAGACUCAAGGACUCGCGCUCCUCCCAGCGCCCCUCACCUCUGAAUCACCACCUCUGGCUGAGGACAGGGGCUCCUGGGCUCAAUAUCGUGAGGCUCUCGGCUGAACGGAGUGAUCUGGAUCAUACUCCUUUGCCUAAAACUAAAUGCACGAUGCGACCCGUCCCUUUUCAAAUAAAGUAGGACGAACCACACACCCCGUCAGUGCGGACGGUGGUGUAACGAGGGCGAAGGCCCCAGCACCAGGGUCUUGGGCAGGAACUCUCCCUGGACACACCGUGCUCUGCACACGCCCGCUUUCUCCCCUGGGAUGCCCUCUCCUGUCUUGAUGUGGACUUUCACUGGUUAUUCUUCUCUCUGAUAAUUAAAUUAUUUUCAUAGUGUUUUAAUUACAUUCAUAGCAACUUAUACAAAA
ensembl:lncRNA